UACGUAGGGUGCAAGCGUUGCCCGGAUUUAUUGGGCGUAAAGGGCGCGUAGGCGGUCGUGACAAGUCACUUGUGAAAUCUCCGGGCUUAACUCGGAACGGUCAAGUGAUACUGUCGGACUAGAGUACAGAAGGGGCAACUGGAAUUCUCGGUGUAGCGGUGAAAUGCGUAGAUAUCGAGAGGAACACCUGCGGCGAAGGCGGGUUGCUGGGCUGAUACUGACGCUGAGGCGCGAAAGCCAGGGGAGCGAACGGG
rnacentral:rRNA from 1 species